GAGCAGGAAUGACCUUCCCUCUCAAAUGUGGAUAUGUCAAAUUAUCCUUUAAAGGUGACCCUAGUUUAAAUAUCUCCUAGCCCAUCUUCCCAAGCCAUGGUACCAAACAAAGAUCUAUCUACAAGAUAUAUUCCCAAACUAAACUCAAUCUGUUUUCUGGAUCCAGAAUCCCACAGGGCAAGUACAGCUGCAAACCCAAGUGAUCAGUUCCAUGUGGCAGGGAGGACAAGGGAGGCCACAAGGUUCAGCAGCACCCAGAGUUUGUGACAGUGUGGAAGAUAAUAACCACCAAGAAUUUAUCUACUCUCUGUCCCAAGAAGAACUAAGAAGAAUUUAAACCACAAUGAGAUCAAGCAAGGCUGGCUAAGUAAGAGUAAGAACUUGUCUCUUAUCUCUUCACUGUCCACUAAUAGCAUUUCCUCCCUGCUGAUUGCAGAUCACAGUAACACACUCUA
rnacentral:lncRNA from 1 species